AGGACUGGGGUACAAACACAUCUGCUGGACAUUUAUGUCAAAACUAACAAAGCAGGUGUUUUAAGCAUCACCUGUAUACUUCACACUUCCCAUGACUGAUCACUUUGGCAUUAGUAAAAUAUCAUUAGCAAGGUUUUCCUUGCCUUGAUGGAUUUGUCUAGAUCCAGAAGAAACGCCAGGUUAGAACUACCUAAAACAGGCUCAGAAGGGCAUCUUUCCUUCUAUUUUGUGAGCUGAAAAAACCCACAGUAAAACUAAUUUACCUUUCUCCAUGCUGAGAGAAGCGUCAGAGGAAUUAGAUCCCUUCAAUACAUGUAACACUCCCAAGACCAAACAACUGAUCUGAUGAAGCCAGUGAGUGCCAAACAAACUGCUCUGACAGACCUGCCAGAGAAGCUGGGGGUGACGCUGCAGAAACUCAUCCAGGAGCUGGCAGUGAAAGUGUUAGCCAUGACGAAGGGAAGCAGGAAUGUGGGGAGUUUGACUAAGGAUUUCUGGCUGCUGUUAAAACAACAGUUGUUCAGUUGCUGCAGCAACCUAUGAAGUCACUAAAAAUAAGUUCCAGGAGGUAACUGUAUAUGGCAAAGGGCAGCAGCCCACAGAAAAGCUGGAUCUGAAGGAUUACUACUGAAAGUGAAAGGCAAAGAUUCCUGAAACCUCUGUAAAACUAGGCAGAGAAUCAGUAUUUUACUGGGCACUUCAUAAUAUGUAUGACCUCAUGCUUAUCAGAAAACCAAGAAAAUGUUAAACUGAGCUUGGCUUACUAAACUGGCACGAGAAAGGGCAGUGUACAGUACUGAGCCAGCAAACUCAGGUAAGAAGACCUGGGAGAGGAACAGGAUUUGAAAAAGCAGAUGAGUGAGCUGUCCAGAAUUCUCCUACUUGACCUUACUGACUGGGAUCCCUCCCACAGCAGGGUUGGUAGAGACACACAAGAAGGAAGGAACUAUUUUCUUGAAUAAAGGGAGAAAAGGAAGAGAAGAUGAAUAGCUCCUGCUAAAGGAUUACACUGAUGUUCCCCCUGACAGAACAAUCCUUGCCUACAGUCUUCAGUGUACUUAAAAUUCCCUUUUUAUAGCAGAAGACAAACCAUAUCUGCAUAUCUGAUAGAGCACCACAAACCCCCAACAGCCUCCUGCAGACCCCAGAGGAGGCACCAUCCCACAGCCAGGCAGCCCUUCAGCAGCUCUGAGGUAACAAUCCUGUUCAAGGACAGCACAGACACAAUGGAAAAUCCUGAGGUGAGAAAGGAAGAAAAGUACAAGUACUGCUUUUAAAAGGUAAAGCCUAUCCAGCAAGAAUGGCCAGGGUGCAACAGAACUGGGAGUCAGCAAAAGGUGCAGAAGAAAACCAAUCCCUAAGAGCUCAGAUACAAAAGUUAAAUGAUUCAGACAUUUAUUGCCUCUACAAUUAAACACAGAAUAACCUAUACAUGUGCAUGCAUUCCUUCAGAAGAGUUUUUAAAUGCUGCAGUCCCAGAAAAAAUCCACAUAGGAAAUUUCUACACUGGACUACAGAGUGUGGGGAGUUCUGAAAGACAGGGGCUGUUCAAACCCAUCUAAGAACACAGGAGCUUCAGUCCCUCACCCCAAAUUCUUAGUCUGGGUUUGAAAAGCCACCUGGAUUCUGCCCAUGGGGCUGGAGAGCACUGGGGAUCCAAGGGCUGGAGUUAAUGAUUACCAUAAGGGGCCACAGAACUCAGCCAGCUGUGCAGUAGCUCCAAAGGAAUUAAUUCCAGUGGGAGCAGACACUAUAAAGACUGGCAGACAGCCAGACACCCAGCCCUCCAUCACUGAUGCUCAAACAUAAAGCAGAAUACAACUGGUCUCAAGUCUUGUCUCCAAGCAGGCCAAAAAGCACAGAAACCAAUCCAUCCAAGUCCAGGAGACUGCGAGCCAACAAACCCAUUUUGCAAAAGGUAACCUCUACUUGGCAGAUCUGGUGUUUUCUUCACACAGGACUCUCUUGGAAAGAUCUGCUUCCCAGCCACAUCAAUCACAGCCCCCAAAUCCCAGUGAUGUCCUGCUAGGGCUAAGUAAAGGAAUAGAAACUGUUUUCUCACCCUUCAUGUGUUCUUUUUCAGGCAGCACUGAGAAAUUUUAGAAGGGCAGCAGGGGGGAAAGAAUUUACUUGGGUUGUCCAAGCUUUACCUACUGAGGGAAUAGAGAAUUCCAGGCCCCAGCCCUUUCCAUCUGGUACUAUUUACUGAUCCCAUAGUCAUUCAUGGCUCAGCAGGGGAGGAACUCACCCUGCACUUGGCUGGCUCAAAACUGGUACGCAGAGAAAGGCACAUGACAUAUCGACAUUAAAUGUGCAUUUGACAAGAUGUUUUCUUCUUCUCUCGAGCUCACAACAUUGACACAGGAACUGAUCCUAAACCCACUCUUAUCAAUGAAAAAUAUCUGCCUCCUUUCAGAGAAGCAGGAUGGGCCACGGAUGGUUUUACAUUCAAAUAAUUCAGGGUUUUCAAGCCACCAGGAGUUUUUGUAUCAGUAUUCUCAUAGCACACAGCUAAAAUUAUGGAAUUAAGAGACUGCUGAGUUCAUCCCUUUAGCACUCAGAACCAGUGAAAAUUUUCCAGUGUAUGAUUUACUGCCUGCCUGGCUCAUUUUAACUCCAAAUACUUUUUUUCAAUUUAACACUGCUGAAAGCUUCUGUAAGGAUAAGGGCAGUUCAGGAGGCAAAGAUGAACAUAUAAGGCAACUGGAUGAUAUAUGGAAAAUAUGAAUAAAUCUAAUUGCCAUUGCAGCUGCAAUGAACAAUAAUAACUUUAAUCUGUACAUACAUAUCAUUUCCACAUGACACUCUACAAUAAAUAAGCAUGGAAUUGAUGCUUUUUAAAGAGUAGUUUAAAACCCAUGCUGAACAUACUUCAACCAGUAAGAGAAAUGAGUGGGGGAAAAAAAAGCUUUGAUCCCAAGAAUGAAACCUGAAACAGCUGCUCCUACGCAUUCCAUAAUUUUCCUUCCUGGAUAUGAGCAAAAGAUUUUAUUUCUCAUGGACGGGAGACAGGCAACUGCAAAAAGGCCUUUCUCAUUAAAACCCAAACAUAUGACCAUUCAGAAUUAAUAAACCUUAUGACAUAUUUGAA